AAUGAACGCUGGCGGCAGGCUUAACACAUGCAAGUCGAACGGGUGUAGCAAUACAUCAGUGGCAGACGGGUGAGUAACACGUGGGAACCUUCCUAGGGGUACGGAACAACUCAGGGAAACUUGAGCUAAUACCGUAUACGUCCGUGAGGAGAAAGAUUUAUCGCCCUUAGACGGGCCCGCGUCGGAUUAGGUAGUUGGUGGGGUAACGGCCUACCAAGCCUACGAUCCGUAGCUGAUCUGAGAGGAUGAUCAGCCACACUGGGACGGAGACACGGCCCAGACUCUUACGGGAGGCAGCAGUGGGGAAUCUUGGACAAUGGGCGAAAGCCUGAUCCAGCCAUGCCGCGUGAGUGAAGAAGGCCUUAGGGUUGUAAAGCUCUUUUGCCAGGGACGAUAAUGACGGUACCUGGAGAAUAAGCCCCGGCAAACUUCGUGCCAGCAGCCGCAGUAAGAC
rnacentral:rRNA from 1 species